rnacentral:lncRNA from 1 species
CCGGGAGUACACUCUGGAUGCCACACGAUGUUUAUGGUCUCGAAAGACCACAAGCUAACCCAUGAACUAGUACCUGCCGUAAUCACUGAAUAAUAUGCUUAUAAUAAAAGACAUACGUGAAAAUAACUGAAGGUUCAUAAGGUUUUAAGAACUAAAAUUAAUACAACUGAAUACUCAAGUCUGAAGUAUAAAUGAAUAUACUAAAAAGGUCAGGUAUUUAUUGUUCAAUUAUGCUACCCCA